rnacentral:lncRNA from 1 species
CUUGAAUAAUCCAGAAUGUCUCCCAAAGUCUUAAAACGAGCAAUUACAAAUGAACAAUUACAACAUCCGUGACACGUACUUACCGCCACCUCCCUUUCGUCUUCAACGUACAAUAGUUAGAUCACUUCUUCGUCUGAUGUGUUUUGGAGAAGGAUCUUGGUUUGCUGGCAGUAUUUGGAUUGGAGAUGAGAUCAAGCAUACCUUUGUCACUUCUGAAGUGACUUGGCUAGGACUCAGAAAACUGCCCCAGAGUUUGUACUAAGCAGCCAGUGGAGUUCUUGACCCCUCUGCAGAAACUCUCCURUGAUCUGGAGUAGAGCUGUCUGGUUUUCUGCUUUCCUGGACUUCCUCAUCUCUGCGCCAGUUCCAUAAAACACAGGCAAAUGCAUCCCUGUGCAGCAGAAAUUGUGUUUAAGUAUAAUGGCUUCUGGUGAGACACGAAUAUUCUUUAGUUCUCAAACUGGUAAUAUUUUGACAAAUCGUAGCUGAUGUUAUUCUUGUGUAGCGGUGAUUACAUGUAAUAUGCACCUUGCUUUUUUGGCUUUGUUUUAACCGAAUGAUUUUCUUUAUUGUGUAUGCUCAACUAAAGCUUCGGAUAGUUGUUAUUGACUGAGUGAUAAAUGAAAAGGUGAUUGUUCAACAACUCUUAAAUAACUCACUAAAACUUUCCCAAGACAAAUGAGUAGAGUUUUACGGCUAUUCAUUACUCUGUAAGAAUGAUUUCAUUUGAAAAGAUCUGAUUGCUUUAAUGCCUUCACAUCUCAUUUAAAAAUUUUAAAUAAUAAGUGGAUUGAGGUGUUUUCCUUUGUAAUUCCAAGUGCUACUUUAAGGAUAUGCACAUUAUUACUGAACUUUAAGCUACUCUUAUUUUUUUAAGCAUUUAGUAUGGACCUAACUCUCCAGUCCUUACGUAAGUCUCUCUUACACAAAAUUUUUGCUGACCUAAGAGUGCAAGAAAAGUUAUUCUGAGGCAAACCAAAGCUGAAUCUAGCACAACACUGUGUGACUUAUAAUGGCUAAAUGCAGAUAACUGUGCAAGGAAAAAGAAAUUUG